ensembl:antisense 1700071M16Rik RIKEN cDNA 1700071M16 gene
AGAAACCAAGGGAACCUCUUCUAAUAACCUGUGGCUCUCCAACUUCUCUACUUUAGGAACCUGUUCACCUGGAAUUUAGGAGUCACAGGUACCACUCUGGGUACAGAAAAGGAGGAGCAUCUUGCAAUUUGCACAUCACACGAAUCUGCAUCUCCAUCUAUCCAUCUAUCUGAAAUCAUCAUAAGGAAAAAGAGGCGGAUCAGACCAACUAUAGCUUGGUCUGUGCUAUAGUUUGUGGCUCAGAGUUCAUCUUUUCUUAAUCCUCUUCAACUUUAUGUGAAUGGGAACUUUGAACCCUGUAGGACGCUACUUGGUAUAUCUAGGAAAUAUAGCAAUUCAGGUUACAAUUUAUUUAAUUUGUGAGUGUGCGGGUUUGUGUUAAAAGCACACGUGUGUCUCUGAGUGUCAAAUAUUCCCGAGUCUUGAGAUGUAUACAUUCUAGAAGAAAAACACAUUCUUUUUAAAGUACUUUUACAGUCCUUCCUCAGCAUGCGAAGUAUCUCAUAUUUGUAAGCCUUUUAAGGCCCAGCAGCACAUGCCUUUAAUACCAGUGCUAGUGAAUAGGAGACAACAGGAUAAAUAAUUCAAGGCCACCCUUUGCUACAUUGUGAGUUAGAGGUCAGCCAGGGCUACAUGAGAUUGUCUCAGACAACCGAAAGAAGGGUAUGGGGAGAGCGCUUGCUGCAUGAACAUGGAGAGCUGAGUUUAAAUCUGCUGCAUCACAUAAAAUCUUAGGCAUGGCUGCACAGAGAUGAAACCCCGGGUCCUUUCAUGUGUAGACAGAAGGGCUUCUCAGGCUUGCUGGCUGUCAGCCUAAUUUCAAGUUCAAUGAGAGACCUUGUCUCAGGGGAAUACGGUAGAAAGUAAUAGAACAGGACAGUGGACACUUUUCUCUGCCUUCCACCUGUGUAUACAAGCGUGGACACUCACAUAUACAUAUGCACUUAUAACACAAACCCACACACUCACUAAUUAAAUAAGUUAUACCCCAAAUAGCUAUAUUUUUCUAUUAUUCAUUUAAUAGAUUAUAAAGAACAAUUAUCUAUUGUUUUGAAGUAUUAAUUAUAACUUUUAAAAUAUUCACGUAGCCACUUCUGAACAGCUAGACUGAGUAUAGCAUAGGGUUAACACAAGACCAAGGGCAUGUUUAAACAACCCAGUGAUGUUUAAAAAUCAGAGGGUAAAAAACCACGUCUUUAAAUUUUCACCCUGCACCAAUAAGAGUCAAUAAUAUAAAAUGUACCCUGGAAGAUAAUGGACCCAUUGUGUGACCUGUUUCCAACCCCUGAUGAUACAGUUUAGAAAGAUGAACUUCUUCAUUUCAAGUAGGUCACAGGUUCUCUGAUGACAAGGUCCAGCACCUCAGUCACCACCGUAUCCAUGGUGCUUUCCCUUCCUGGGAAGUAUUGAGGGAUGAAUGGACCUCUGAAAUAUUCUUCAAUUACCUGUGUAAAUAUCAACAUAAGGCCCAGCCCUUUCCUAUUGAUUAGUCCAUUUCCUCAAAUAUCAAGUAGGGCAAAGGUUAUGCUAGUGAUGAUGAGUUACGCAAGCCCUUUUGGAGAUGCUGUGGUAAAGAGUUACUCAACAAACCCAGCAAGUAGAUCUGGAGUGAGUACAUCUAUCCUCGUGUGCAGAUCUGUGGGUAUAGACAGUGUGAGAUCAUCCUCAAGUUACCUGCUGUGCUCUCCAAAGGACACAGACUGAGACCCAUGUGCGUCACCGCUCUUUAAGAUGAACAGGCAGAAAGGGCCAUGUCCCUUUGGACCUCUAGAGUCCAGACUGUCAUCUUCUUGCAAGCCUCUUCACCUCCGCAGGACCAGCUUUGCUUGUCAAGACACAAGACCAAUCCUACCUUCAUGGAACAGCGAUGAAGCUGCCUUGUAAACUCCAAGGAUCUCUCACCAAAGCUGAAGCACAUUAUGUCAUCUAUAAUGGUUUUCCAAUAAGCUUCAGGGAUCCUCCCGUUUCUACACCCCUCCCCCCAUAACAAAGAAAUCUCACAUCAGUGGUGGCGAUCCAAACUCAUGACCUCAUGCUUGCACAGUGGCUACUUCAUCACCUGGGCCAUCCCCCCAGUCCUUGCAUUCUCACAUAUCAAAACAUGCAACAUCUUAAAGUUGCUCAGAGAGUAAUGCCUCUUACCUGACGGCCUGAAGUCAAAAGAAGAUGUGUCUUGCCAGUGAAAAGGAUGGACCCAUGGGAGGCAGCAGAGGAGGCAGAAAAGCGCCUGCAGUUUGAGUGGUACCAUCUUAGGAGCUGAGCAGUGGCUUCAGUUUGAUGUUCUUCAGAGCAGAUAAUUAAAAGAAAAGAAAUACAAUGAAUGUACUGAAGUGCCCAGUAAUGUUAACAGUGAAACAUGUAUUGCUUAUUCAGAGAAAGCUGGCAAAAUCCUUGAUGCUAAUGGGUGGCAGAACAUGGGAAUAACAUUUCAAGACAGCUAAAUAUGAUUUUCUCUAUUUUUACAAGAGUCUUUUGGUUAUAAGAAAAACAUGGAGUCAUGAUAGUG